rnacentral:sRNA from 1 species
CUUUACGUGUUAAUGGGUUUUCCCAUAAUUCAGCCACCGUUUUCAGUAGUAUUAAAGAAAUUCGGUGUAUUUUUUUUGUGCAAGUAAAAAUCAGAAGCAGUGUUUUGUUUGGCGUUCGGUUAUUCUACAAAAAGGGUGCAAGGACUGGGGUCCACAUUUGGUAGGCUUAGGCUGACUUUGAUUAGUACAGAGCCUCGUUUUCGCUUGUGUGGUUUUGAAGUUCCUGAGCCGCGCGGACGAAAUUCAGUGUGCGGAAUUAAAUAUAACAAUGACAAAGUGGUAUUCCGUAGUUUUUAUUUCACUUUGCUUGAGUUGCCUGCUAGUCCAAUCAGAUGCGGGUUUGCUUAAGUCAGUUGGCGAAUUCGCCACCGGAAUGGCUGCGGCUUGGGGUAUUGACGCCUGCUCUCUAAGGAAAUUUGGUUUCAACACUAUUACGGAGCAUCUUUUUGAAGUUUGCCUGAAGAAAUUUAAAUAAAUACCAGGAAAUUUUCGUUUUACUAAUGUUUUCUAGCAAAUGAGAAUAAAAUUCAGGAUAAAAAAAAAGAUUCAAAUAAAUAAGAAAUUAUUUUAAUAAAAGGUUUCAAAAUUUAAAAAAACGACACAGAAAUGUGGAUCCUCAUAACCUUUUAAGAAAAGAACAUUAUGUAUAAAAUAAAGUGAAAGCUUUAAAAAACUUAAAGAUUCUCCCAUCUACCCUUUUACAAGCUUAAAACUUGAAUUUUCUGUGAUUACAGUUUAAUAAAGCAAUGUUCAUUUUCAAUGUCGUUUGGACUUAGGUUUUAAUAAAUUAAGUGUUUGUAACGGAAUUGUGAAACUUGAUAAUCAUACUAGGGGAGGGAGGGAUUAAAUUUUGAGCCGAAAAUAUUUUUUUAGGAAAAGAAUAUUUGUUUGCCUAAUCAAAGGUCGUUAUAAUUGUUGGGUACUGGACUUUCAAUACAUAUUAAGUAACUUUCA